rnacentral:tRNA from 1 species
UGUGCGCUAGAGUAAGGGUAGCAUACUUGUUGUGAAAACAAAGAAGUGUGGGUUCGAGUCCCAUGCAUACAG